rnacentral:lncRNA from 10 species
AAAGGAUGACCAUGAUCUCAGCAGGCUCUUGGGUAACCCCCUCCCACACCAACUCUGAGUUUGUUUAUGGCUUGUUUUGGACAAUAAGACAUUAGCAAAUGAGAUAUAAGUACAGGCUUGAGAAGUACAUGGGCACUGGGGCUUGCUUGCUGGCUGCUCUGUGGAACCUGAGACUACCACGUGAAGAAGAAGUUCGAAGUGCUAGAGGUUGAGAGAACAUGUGCAGCAAAGAUGAAGCAUCCCAGCUGAGAUUCCCCUAGAUCAAUCAGCUUGCCAACUGCCGCAAAAGCGAAUAAAGCCUUCCAAGAGCAUCCAGCUAUAAGGUGAGCCAGUCCAGACCGGAAGAAUCACCUGAUCAACUGAAAGAUAUAUGUGAAAUAAUAAAUGUUAGAGGUUUUAAAUUUUAAGAGGUACAGAGGCAUAUGGUUGAUGGUUCUGUUGUAUAAUCAUUAUUUAGUCUGGAAAGAAUCACUUGGAGUCGUC